rnacentral:lncRNA from 1 species
UUUUUUUCCGUUGUAUGUUGAUCUAAUGAGUUUGAAGCUUUUGUUUUGAGUUUUGUUGGCUUUAAAACAGAGAAAUAGGAGAAAACAAGAAAAGUGGUGAAGUCUAUAGACUGUUUGAUGUCGGCGGUGCAAUACGACACGGACAACCCAACAAGUUUGAUUCUAUGCAUCCACACAACAAAUUUCAUCUUCUCACUGGUGUUGUAUUCGGUAAUCUUCGGUUCAAGUUUCAUUCUGUUUUGGUUCGUAUUGCGAUUUGGCUAUGUUCAUCGGUUUAUGUUUAAGGUUUUAGAUUAUAUUAUUUAGUUAGUUUUACAUUCUAGAUUGUGUCUCUCAUAUGGUUGUCAGUUUUUGUGUUUAUGGAAUACGCAUAUGUCGAGUAUUUUACAGUAUGUGGUUAUAACAAUGGUUAAGUUCGGUUAUGCUGGAACGUGUGGCUACUAGUAAUGGGUAGGCUACCGCCGCCUGUGUAUUGUUGGAAGCCUUGGUAGUUAGUUAAGCAAUAUCACUGUCAUGACAGUAGAUUUUUGCUUUUAUUCAAUGUCACUUGUCACUUAUUGAACUGAUAUUGUGAUAUAAGAAUAGUUAUAUUUAUUGCUUGUUGUAUAUUUUGUGCUAUAGCAGUAAAGUAGUGUGUGUAUUAUUGCGUGGGAUGCUUGUCUAGUUUGUCUAUUUGAUAAUUUAUUAUGUUUACCAACAUGUCAAAGUCAUCAUGUUUGUAGUAUUGCCUUGUGUGUGUGACUAUAUAUUCAAAUGCAUAUGUUAUGUAUGUGCUACAUUUUGUCUAACUGUUAUGCUCAUCUCAACAUUUGUGUAAGUGUAGCAACCUGUGCAUGUAUCACUAUGUAUCAAUGUGUGUAUAUCAUAUGUGAUUGUGUAAUUUUUAUUUUAUUAUUAUUUUACUUUAUUGUAGUUUACUCAUAUUUUCUAAAUGAUAAGUGGAUCCCUUGUAUUUGCUUUCUCUUCUUCUUUAUUUAGGUUAAUAAUUAAUUAGAUAAUAGAAAAAAUAUGAAUUUAAACUUCCAAACAAGAACAAGUAUCUAUAAAAAAGGAGAUCAAUUUUUUAUAAAAAAAAUAUAUCUAGAAAAUAUCGAGUUGAUUUUUAUUGUAACCUUUUUGUUUUUA